rnacentral:rRNA from 1 species
GCUAUGUUGGGAAUGGAUAACCUCUGAAAGCAUCUAAGAGGGAAGCCAACUUCAAGAUUAGAAAUCGUUGAGGGACCAGAGAGAUGAUCUGGUUGAUAGGCUCUAGGUGUAAGUGCAGCAAUGUAUUUAGCCAAGGAGUACUAAUGACCCGAAUCUUACUAGGAA